rnacentral:rRNA from 1 species
GAUGAACGCUGGCGGCGUGCCUAAUACAUGCAAGUCGAGCGAACAGACGAGGAGCUUGCUCCUCUGACGUUAGCGGCGGACGGGUGAGUAACACGUGGAUAACCUACCUAUAAGACUGGGAUAACUUCGGGAAACCGGAGCUAAUACCGGAUAAUAUAUUGAACCGCAUGGUUCAAUAGUGAAAGACGGUUUUGCUGUCACUUAUAGAUGGAUCCGCGCCGCAUUAGCUAGUUGGUAAGGUAACGGCUUACCAAGGCGACGAUGCGUAGCCGACCUGAGAGGGUGAUCGGCCACACUGGAACUGAGACACGGUCCAGACUCCUACGGGAGGCAGCAGUAGGGAAUCUUCCGCAAUGGGCGAAAGCCUGACGGGGCAACGCCGCGUGAGUGAUGAAGGUCUUCGGAUCGUAAAACUCUGUUAUUAGGGAAGAACAAAUGUGUAAGUAACUAUGCACGUCUUGACGGUACCUAAUCAGAAAGCCACGGCUAACUACGU